rnacentral:sRNA from 15 species
UUUAAACAAAUUUAUGUUAUCGAUGUGUUUCAUGUUAUCAUCGUUUCUGGCAAACAAAUACAGCAUGCAAAAUAGCAAAACGAUGGCAGAAAAACGCGAUUUAAGUAGUUUAACUGUGGUUAAAAGCAUACAUAUUGAAAAUUAAAUUGCAAUGGUCAAAAUUAUAUCGAAUAUAUUGACGUUGACAUGUGUGUAUAUAUAUUGUAUGUCUCUCUCUCUUUAUUGAGAUAUGUUAAAGAAUUGCCCGAACAUAAAACAAUUUAUGCGUCUGUAAUGAUAAACCUUUUAAAAAUACUAAGGAUUAAUUCGAAAAUAAAUAAAUAGCACUGGAUAUGCAACAUGCUGUAGAUGGAAGUACUUAAAGCGAAAAUUCUCCAAUGGGAUAGGAUCAUCGAACGGUGCCGAUACAGAACAUCACUACCUGCAGAGCAGCGAAAACCAUGUGCAAGGAGCGCAGUGGGAGAUUCAGCCGCUACUUACUGUACCUACCACGAAAUGAUUGAACACUGUUAGUGGGAGUACCUACAGGUUUGUUUGCGCCGCACGCAGUUAACAGCAGCAGUUGCAGAAAAUGCAUCUGCAACUCUCACCUACAAGGAAAAGAAAGUUCUUUCAAUUUUAACGGGCCACCAAUUUUAUGGAUGCGUCGGACUAUGACCAGCCUGCGAAUGUAUGCUGCAUAUCCGUUUACAAUAACUUCCAAGAAGCUAAGGCAGUAAGACUAGAGCUUCGCAGUCGUCGCAGAAGCAACAGAGAAAGAAUAAGAAGCUGCAUUUCGAACAAUAAUUAUGAAUAUGGGGACUCCGUAAGAGAGAGAAACGCGGGAAUUCAGCAACUGCGGGAACGGAAGACGAUGAACUGAAUAUGGCAAGAGACGAUCAACCAAAGGUGGCGGGCAAUCGGAACGCUCACGUACUUACCUGGAAUAUAACUACAUCUUUGAAAUUCGACGCUCAAACCUUUGACUUGAUCUGAGAUAGAGGAAUUCC